rnacentral:rRNA from 1 species
CCUACGGGGUGCAGCAGUGAGGAAUAUUGGUCAAUGGCCGAGAGGCUGAACCAGCCAAGUCGCGUGAGGGAAGACGGCCCUACGGGUUGUAAACCUCUUUUGUCGGGGAGCAAAGCGAACCACGUGUGGUUCAUUGAGAGUACCCGAAGAAAAAGCCUCGGCUAACUCCGUGCCAGCAGCCGCGGUAAUACGGAGGAUGCGAGCGUUAUCCGGAUUUAUUGGGUUUAAAGGGUGCGCAGGCGGCGGGGCAAGUCAGCGGUAAAAUUGCGGGGCUCAACCCCGUACUGCCGUUGAAACUGCAUCCCUUGAGUGCGCGAGAAGUAUGCGGAAUGCGUGGUGUAGCGGUGAAAUGCAUAGAUAUCACGCAGAACGCCGAUUGCGAAGGCAGCAUACCGGCGCGCAACUGACGCUCAUGCACGAAAGCGUGGGUAUCGAACAGGAUUAGAUACCCCUGUAGUC